rnacentral:rRNA from 1 species
CCCUUAGAUGUCCUGGGCUGCACGCGCGCUACACUGAUGUGUCCAGUAAGCACCUAACCUCUUCCGAAAGGAACGGGUAACCUUUGCAAAGCACAUCGUGAUGGGGAUAGAUUAUUGCAAUUAUUAGUCUUGAACGAGGAAUUCCUAGUAAGCACAAGUCAUCAGCUUGUGUUGAUUACGUCCCUGCCCUUUGUACACACCGCCCGUCGCACCUACCGAUUGAAUGGUCCGGUGAAAUCUUCGGAUUGAGACUUUGAUUUCUUCACGGAAAACGCUGUUUUAAAAAGUUGAUUAAACCUUACCAUUUAGAGGAAGGUGAAGUCGUAACA